AGCCAAUGAAAGAGCGGCACGAGCCGGCGCAGAGGAAGUGGAGGGUGUCCCGCGCAGACGGAGGAGCGGACUGCGUUACGCACGAGCCAGGGAGCGUCUUCUGUAGAGCGGCUGAGCUGCGCAGCGGAUGCUGGGCGUUCGUUUGAAGCGCAGAAACUCGUCUGAAUGCCCACUUUCUCGGGUUUGUUGUCGCGGAGCAUUUCCACGAGUCCACUGACAUCCGGGAGAGGCAGCCGGUCCGACAGACAGUUCAAGUCUCCUCCAGGAAGAGAACCGAGAUGACUUCUUGUUUGCGUAACGCUGAGUGUUCACUGCAGCUGUGAGCUUUUGGAGAGAAUACCUGCUGGCAAAUCUCUGGUUCACAUCCGUUGCCCCGAUGCUUGCUUUAGGACUGCCUUCUUGCACCAGAAACCCCAAAGAGAGACCAUCAGAACACAGUAUGACUGAGGCUCAGCAUGACUCUGAGGCUGGAGCCCUCCAAAGACUGAGCAUCAUCAUAUUUCUUCUGGAGCAAAGUUGAUGGGCAGACAGCUGCUCCAGCUCUGGAAAGACAUUUAUGUGAAGGAGACUGAAGUGCUUUGAGGUGGUGUUUCCUUCUUUGAAAGGCUGAAUGUUGAACUUUUGAAGAGCUUAUGGGAAGAUGGCGACAGGAGCAGAGGGAAGUCCACAUCAGCACCAGAGGAGGAAAGCUUUGCUGCACGGAUUGGAGGACCAGAAAAGGCCAGGGAGUCACUAUGGAGGGGUAUACAUGUGGACCUGGAACCUCAGGUUGCAGACCCCUGAUCCAGAGUUGCAGAAGAACAUUAAAUAGUGUCUUUUACAGAGUGCAUAAAGAUAAUCAUGAACAAUAAAGUAUCCUGCGUAAAUCUCA